AUCCAAACUGUGUCAAAAUGUGGAAGCUCACUCUAACUGCAGGUCUCUGUUUGAUCAUCGCCAGCUUGGGUGUACCUGGCUUUGCGAGAAAUCUUCGAGUUUACAAAACAUCACAUGGAAACCCUUGUUAUGGAAGACCAGAUGGGCUGUACCCCAACCCCAAUGAUCAGCACUCGUAUUACAACUGUGUUUGGGGACGCACCUACAUCCAAAAGUGCCCAGAACAUUUGGUGUAUAGGCAUUCCAUAACUGCUUGUUACUAUCCUGGAUCACCUGUAACAGGCAGUUCAUCUCAUGAAAUCUGUGAUCCCAUGACUACAACCAGUACUCCCACCAUGACUCCCA